rnacentral:rRNA from 1 species
GUCUACAGCUAUACCACCUUUGAUGUACUUCACUUCAUCUGAUCUCGGAAGCUAAGGAGAGUUGGUCCUGUUUAGUACAUGAAUGGGAGAAU